rnacentral:rRNA from 1 species
AUUGAACGCUGGCGGCAUGCUUUACACAUGCAAGUCGAACGGCAGCGCGGGCUUCGGCCUGGCGGCGAGUGGCGAACGGGUGAGUAAUACAUCGGAACGUGCCCAGUUGUGGGGGAUAGCUCGGCGAAAGCCGGAUUAAUACCGCAUACGACCUGAGGGUGAAAGCGGGGGAUCUUCGGACCUCGCGCUAUUGGAGCGGCCGAUGGCAGAUUAGCUAGUUGGUGGGGUAAAGGCCUACCAAGGCGACGAUCUGUAGCUGGUCUGAGAGGACGACCAGCCACACUGGGACUGAGACACGGCCCAGACUCCUACGGGAGGCAGCAGUGGGGAAUUUUGGACAAUGGGCGAAAGCCUGAUCCAGCAAUGCCGCGUGUGUGAUGAAGGCCUUCGGGUUGUAAAGCACUUUUGGCGGGAACGAAAAGGACUGUGCCAAUACCACGGUUCGAUGACGGUACCCGAAGAAUAAGCACCGGCUAACUACGUG